rfam:Schistosoma rodhaini strain Burundi genome assembly, scaffold: SROB_scaffold0000425
AUCCAGCUGACGAGUCAUAAAUAGGACGAAACGCGCGUAACUGGAU